CCUACGGGUGGCAGCAGUGGGGAAUAUUGCACAAUGGGCGCAACCCUGAUGCAGCGACGCCGCGUGAGUGAAGAAGUAUUUCUGUAUGUAAAGCUCUUUUAGUAGGGAAGAAAAUGACGGUACCUGAUUAAGAAGCCCCGGCUAACUACGUGCCAGCAGCCGCGGUAAUACGUAGGGGGCAAGCGUUAUCCGGAUUUACUGGGUGUAAAGGGAGCGUAGACGGCAGCACAAGUCUGGAGGGAAAUGCCGGGGCUUAACCCCGGAACUGCUUUGGAAACUGUGCAGCUAGAGUGCAGUAGAGGUAGGUGGAAUUCCUGGUGUAGCGGUGAAAUGCGUAGAGAUUAGGAGGAACACCGGUGGCGAAGGCGGCUUACUGGACUGUAACUGACGUUGAGGCUCGAAAGCGUGGGGAGCAAACAGGAUUAGAUACCCGGGUAGUC
rnacentral:rRNA from 1 species